rnacentral:rRNA from 1 species
ACAUGCCUACAACAUAGCGUUAAUGCACCAGAUCCCAUUAGAACUCCGUAGUUAAGUGCACUCAGGCUAGCGUAGUACUGGGAUGCGUGACCGCUCGGGAAGUACUAGUGUUUUACAUGCC